rnacentral:rRNA from 1 species
AGACGUCUGAUGGAGCACGCCGCGUGAGUGAAGAAGGUUUUCGGAUCGUAAAGCUCUGUUGUUGGUGAAGAAGGAUAGAGGUAGUAACUGGCCUUUAUUUGACGGUAAUCAACCAGAAAGUCACGGCUAACUACGUGCCAGCAGCCGCGGUAAUACGUAGGUGGCAAGCGUUGUCCGGAUUUAUUGGGCGUAAAGCGAGCGCAGGCGGAAGAAUAAGUCUGAUGUGAAAGCCCUCGGCUUAACCGAGGAACUGCAUCGGAAACUGUUUUUCUUGAGUGCAGAAGAGGAGAGUGGAACUCCAUGUGUAGCGGUGGAAUGCGUAGAUAUAUGGAAGAACACCAGUGGCGAAGGCGGCUCUCUGGUCUGCAACUGACGCUGAGGCUCGAAAGCAUGGGUAGCGAACAGGAUUAGAUACC